rnacentral:rRNA from 1 species
AUGGGGCUGGAGGCCGGCGAGCCCAGCUCCUUCCUCAGCUUAUCUUCGGCCUUUUCAUAUGGAGUUGCAUCCAUGGCGAUGGUUUUCGUCAACAAAGCGGUUAUUAUGCAGUAUGUUCACUCCAUGACCCUCCUCACUUUACAGCAAUUAGCUACCGCACUUUUCAUACAUUUCGGGCAAGUUCUAGGAAUGUCUAAAAGGAAAGAUCUCAGCAUUGCAACAGCAAAGAAGCUUCUUCCCGUGUCAAUUUUCUAUAAUGCAAAUGUCGCAUUUGCUCUGGCAAGCUUGAAAGGGGUUAACAUCCCUAUGUAUAUUGCAAUCAAGAGGCUCACACCCCUUGCCGUUUUGGUGUCUGGGUUCUUAAGGGGGAAGGGGAAACCAUCAACACAGGUGUCGCUUUCAGUUGUCUGCACUGCCUUAGGUGUCCUUGUUGCAGCACUUGGAGAUUUUUCUUUUGACUUGUAUGGAUACAGUAUGGCUCUAAUAUCGGUCUUCUUCCAGACGAUGUAUUUGAUUCUGGUGGAGAAAUCAGGCGCAGAUGAUGGUCUUUCCUCAAUGGAGUUGAUGUUCUAUAACAGCAUAUUAUCGAUUCCAUUUCUGUUUUUCAUCAUUGUUGCAACAGGAGAAUUUCCCCAUUCUCUUUCAGUUCUGUCAGAAAAGACAGCUUCUGCAUCAUUCAGUGUUAUUCUUCUAAUUUCACUGGUGAUGGGUAUUGUUCUCAAUUACACCAUGUUCUGGUGCACAAUCGUAAACUCUGCCCUGACGACCACGAUAGUAGGAGUUCUCAAGGGCGUCGGGUCCACGACCCUGGGUUUCGUGGUGCUUGGAGGCGUCAAGGUGCACGCUCUCAACGUCACCGGGCUGGUGAUCAACACGUUCGGUGGCGUGUGGUAUUCGUACGCAAAGUACACGCAGAAGAAGAAGCUGCCACGAAGGGUCGCACCCGACGAAGAGUUGCAUCCACACAAGUAG